GCUCAUAUAGUCCAAUUGGCAGAGACAACAGAUUUAAGCUCUGUGAAGUGUGAGUUCGAAUCUCUCUAUGAGCA
rnacentral:tRNA from 2 species